rnacentral:rRNA from 1 species
AUUGAACGCUGGCGGCAGGCCUAACACAUGCAAGUCGAGCGAGCGGCGGACAGGUGAGUAAUGUCUGGGAAACUGCCUGAUGUGGGGGGAUAACUACUGUAAAAGGUAGCUCAUACCGCAUACCCUAUGAUGUGUCCAGAUGGGAUUAGCUAGUAGGUGGGGGAUCGGCUCACCUAGGCGACGCUCCCUAGCUGGUCUGAGAGGAUGACCAGCCACACUGGAACUGAGACACGGUCCAGACUCCUACGGGAGGCAGCAGUGGGGAAUAUUGCACAAUGGGCGCAAGCCUGAUGCAGCCAUGCCGCGUGUGUGAAGAAGGCCUUCGGGUUGUAAAGUACUUUCAGCGGGGAGGCGUUACCCGCAGAAGAAGCACCGGCUAACUCCGUGCCAGCCGCCGCGGUAAUAC